rnacentral:lncRNA from 1 species
UUGGGCAGUGGGGAUCAUUACUGGAGGGAGGGUAAUGAUUUGUGCAUCGUUGGAAUUGGGUAGCGGGGAUCAUCGCCGGAGGGAGGGAAUGGCUGGUCCUCUAGCGUCUGGGGAAAAAAAAACGUUGUGAUCGGAUCUUUGAUGCCGGAGACGGGGAUGGCUGGACAGGAAAAGAAUAAGCCUUCAGGACCAGCAACCACAGACCGAGAGAGCCCACCCAUGAGAUCAAGAUGAACUGCUCUAAUCCCCACAUUGCACCCACCAGGGAACAAAGAAGCAAGAAGGGGAUCUGAUGGAUGGAGAGAAAUAGAAGAGAAGUGGAGUAGAGAAGAUGGGGGAGGGGAGUGGGUUUACCUAGCCAUGGGUGAGGGUGGGAUGUGGGGAAGCAAAGAAGGGUGGGGUGCUCCAUUAUUGUCUCCUUCCUAUGGUUGGAUGAGCGCCAGAGUAGGCUGGAUCCCCAUUAAUGGGAUCCAUCCCCCACCCAUGGGGUUCUAUUUGUAAAUCCCCACC